UAUAUAUAUAUAUAUAUAUAUAUAUAUAUAUCACAACGUUUAUGCUGCAAUAGAAGAGGUGGUGACGACAGGCGUGGUGGUAAAAACAUCGGCGUCGUCAGAAGUGACGUGACAGAAGUACAAGACUCGGUAAAGAACUAGAAAGAAAGAAAGAGAGAGAAAAAAAAGGAAAGAGGACAAAAAAAUUUAGACGACGGAGAAACAGACAAAAAAGAAAAGAAAGAAAUUGUUAUAGGAAAGCAGUAUCUCAGGUGCGUCUCUCGGAAAGUAGAAAACACAAACAAGAUAGCGAUAGUUUCGUUUAUCGUCUGCUUUAUACACCUGCCGAUACUGUAUUGAACACUCAACACUGGCCGAUCGGUCCUUGGCUACAAUGGCAGUCAACGAAAAUAUUAAUUAUUGUAACAUACAAAGAGCUGUGCCUACAGCAUGGUCAAGUUCUAUUCUGCAGGACCCGGCUUCUAUGAUACGGCACCUCUUCAUUCAGGAACUUUUGCUUACAGUUUUUGUAUUGGUUUGCUUCGUGUUGAUUCGGACAAUAUAUACAGUUGUGAAGCGUCGCUAUGCUCGGAUCACAGUAUUCGUAAUCGGUGGUGGGCCUAUCGGGUUGACAGCUAUGUUUAUAGCCGCCAAAUGCGUCCGUGUAGCGCGCCUGGUCCUUUACGAAGAACUCUGUCGAAGUUCCUUGAUAAACAGACUCAAUCAACUUGCUUUCGAUAUGUCCAGUAUAAACUUUCUCAAAGACCUUGGAAUAGAUUUCCAUAAUAUGGAAGGCUGUUGGCAACAAAAUAGUUUUUCUACUCGAGCCGGCAUUUUUCAGGAGUACCUUUUGAAUCUUAUUUCAAAGAUGGACGUGCCGAUAGAAAUGAAAUUCCAAACAAAAGU
rnacentral:lncRNA from 1 species